rnacentral:tRNA from 1 species
GGUUGUAGCUCAGUGGUAGAGCACUUGUCCGGCACCUGUGAGGCACUGGGUUUGAUCCUCAGCACCA